CUGGAAGUAUCCAUUCCUCUCUAGAAGUAUCGGUUUCUCUUUCUUCUCCCAAGAGAACAAAUAAACAGACGCUAAUAACUUAUAAAACUCGACGGACGACGGAAAACAACAAUUUUCUCUUCGUCUUCUCUUCAUCCCUGUGACUCCAGAUAGUUCAUCUUCCUGGUAUAUCAAGUGUGUUUAGUCUUCUGACCUUCCAAUUUUAGAGUAAAAAAUUGACAUACUACUUCAACAUUUCUGCCGCAACAUAUUAUUAUCCAUCAUUUCUAGACGACAUUUCACUCUGAAAAUCUAUGGAGACACCCUAACACACCAAUACAGCAGGGACAUAACAACAAUUAUGCCCAAGUCUCAAACAAGUAAGGUCGGCUAUAUGAAUCCUCAUUAACCACGUUAGAAAAUAACAAUAUUACGGUGUGUUGAAAGCUAUGUUGCAUUGGCUCUUCACUUUGAAUGUCGCACACAUGUCGGAUUUUACAAAAAUAUACUACAUUUGGAGAAUUUAACAUGCGCCCACCGACAUUUUUGAAGAGUUCAAUCAACAUAGUUUGAAAGUACAUUGUUGCAAAAGGCGCACUUUCUUUUUUUCUUAAUGUUGCAUGAAUCAGGAAGUGAUUUUUCGGGCAGUGAAAUUCCCAAUUGAUAUAGUGUUGUCAUAGAAACCUUGCAACUUUGUUCUUUGGUUCCAGUACAUGGAUUUCACAAUAAUUCUUGUUUGCUAUUCUCUAAUUAUCCAUUAUUUAGACUUAAAUGGAACAAAAGAACUAUGUGUUGUUUGUUACUAUUCUAAUUCCAUAUUCUCUACUGCAUUACUAUUUAAAUCAGCCUUACAUUUUUAGCAUUUUUAAAUUUUGUUUUUCCUAUUAUACAUGUCUAUUAUAUUAGAU